rnacentral:rRNA from 1 species
UACGUAGGGUGCAAGCGUUGUCCGGAAUUAUUGGGCGUAAAGAGCUCGUAGGCGGUUUGUUGCGUCGGCUGUGAAAUCCCGAGGCUCAACCUCGGGUCUGCAGUCGAUACGAGCAAACUAGAGUGUUGCAGGGGAGACUGGAAUUCCUGGUGUAGCGGUGAAAUGCGCAGAUAUCAGGAGGAACACCGGUGGCGAAGGCGGGUCUCUGGGCAAACAACUGACGCUGGAGGAGC